UAGGGAAUCUUCGGCAAUGGACGAAAGUCCGACCGAGCAACGCCGCGUGAGUGAAGAAGGUUUUCGGAUCGUAAAACUCUGUUGUUAGAGAAGAACAAGGACGUUAGUAACUGAACGUCCCCUGACGGUAUCUAACCAGAAAGCCACGGCUAACUACGUGCCAGCAGCCGCGGUAAUACGUAGGUGGCAAGCGUUGUCCGGAUUUAUUGGGCGUAAAGCGAGCGCAGGCGGUUUCUUAAGUCUGAUGUGAAAGCCCCCGGCUCAACCGGGGAAGGUCAUUGUAAACUGGGAGACUUGAGUGCAGAAGGGGGGAGUAGAAUUCCAUGUGUAGCGGUGAAAAGCGUAGAUAUAUGGAGGAACACCAGUGGCGAAGGCGUCUCUCUGGUCUGUAACUGACGCUGAGGCUCGAAAGCGUGGGGAGCAAACAGG
rnacentral:rRNA from 1 species